rnacentral:rRNA from 1 species
UACAGAGGUCUCAAGCGUUGUUCGGAUUCAUUGGGCGUAAAGGGUGUGUAGGUGGCGCCGUAAGUCGGGUGUGAAAUUUCGGAGCUUAACUCCGAAACUGCAUUCGAUACUGCGGUGCUUGAGGACUGGAGAGGAGACUGGAAUUCAUGGUGUAGCAGUGAAAUGCGUAGAUAUCGUGAGGAACACCAGAGGCGAAGGCGGUUACCUGGACAGUUACUGACGCUCAGGCACGAAAGCGUGGGGAGCAAAAGGG